GAUGAACGCUGGCGGCGUGCCUAAUACAUGCAAGUCGAGCGAACAGACGAGGAGCUUGCUCCUUUGACGUUAGCGGCGGACGGGUGAGUAACACGUAGGUAACCUACCUAUAAGACUGGGAUAACUUCGGGAAACCGGAGCUAAUACCGGAUAAUAUUUCGAACCGCAUGGUUCGAUAGUGAAAGAUGGCUUUGCUAUCACUUAUAGAUGGACCUGCGCCGUAUUAGCUAGUUGGUAAGGUAACGGCUUACCAAGGCAACGAUACGUAGCCGACCUGAGAGAGUGAUCGGCCACACUGGAACUGAGACACGGUCCAGACUCCUACGGGAGGCAGCAGUAGGGAAUCUUCCGCAAUGGGCGAAAGCCUGACGGAGCAACGCCGCGUGAGUGAUGAAGGUCUUCGGAUCGUAAAACUCUGUUAUUAGGGAAGAACAAACGUGUAAGUAACUGUGCACGUCUUGACGGUACCUAAUCAGAAAGCCACGGCUAACUACGUG
rnacentral:rRNA from 1 species